rnacentral:rRNA from 1 species
GGCUCAGGACGAACGCUGGCGGCGUGCUUAACACAUGCAAGUCGAGCGGUAAGGCCCUUCGGGGUACACGAGCGGCGAACGGGUGAGUAACACGUGAGCAAUCUGCCCUUCACUUUGGGAUAACCACCGGAAACGGUGGCUAAUACCGAAUACGACCACUUCCUGCAUGGGAUGGUGGUGGAAAGUUCCGGCGGUGGAGGAUGAGCUUGCGGCCUAUCAGCUUGUUGGUGGGGUAAUGGCCUACCAAGGCAACGACGGGUAGCCGGCCUGAGAGGGUGACCGGCCACACUGGGACUGAGACACGGCCCAGACUCCUACGGGAGGCAGCAGUGGGGAAUAUUGGACAAUGGGCGAAAGCCUGAUCCAGCAACGCCGCGUGAGGGAUGACGGCCUUCGGGUUGUAAACCUCUUUCAGUAGGGACGAAGCGCAAGUGACGGUACCUACAGAAGAAGCACCGGCCAACUACGUGCCAGCAGCCGCGGUAAUACGUAGGGUGCGAGCGUUGUCCGGAAUUAUUGGGCGUAAAGGGCUCGUAGGCGGUUUGUCGCGUCGGGAGUGAAAACACGGGGCUUAACCCCGUGCCUGCUUCCGAUACGGGCAGACUAGAGGUAUGCAGGGGAGAACGGAAUUCCUGGUGUAGCGGUGAAAUGCGCAGAUAUCAGGAGGAACACCGGUGGCGAAGGCGGUUCUCUGGGCAUUACCUGACGCUGAGGAGCGAAAGUGUGGGGAGCGAACAGGAUUAGAUACCCUGGUAGUCCACACCGUAAACGUUGGGCGCUAGGUGUGGGACUCAUUCCACGAGUUCCGUGCCGCAGCUAACGCAUUAAGCGCCCCGCCCGGGGAGUACGGCCGCAAGGCUAAAACUUAAAG